GGUUCUAUAGUGUAGCGGUCAGCACAUCGGAUUCUGAUUGAUUGUGGGGCGACCCAAAAUUGGUAUUCCGGUAACCCCGGUUCGAUUCCGGGUAGGACCU